GCGGGUAUCGUAUAGUGGUAAUACCUCAGCCUUCCAAGCUGAUGCUGUGAGUUCGAUUCUCACUACCCGCUCCA
rnacentral:tRNA from 1 species